UACGUAGGGAGCAAGCGUUGUCCGGAAUCAUUGGGCGUAAAGAGCGUGUAGGCGGCCAGGUAGGUCCGCUGUGAAAACUCGAGGCUCAACCUCGAGAUGUCGGCGGAAACCAUCUGGCUAGAGUCCGGAAGAGGAGAGUGGAAUUCCUGGUGUAGCGGUGAAAUGCGCAGAUAUCAGGAAGAACACCGGUGGCGAAGGCGGCCCACUGGUCCGGUACUGACGCUGAGGUGCGAAAGCGUGGGGAGCAAACAGG
rnacentral:rRNA from 1 species